GUCGAACGGCAGCACAGAGAAGCUUGCUCUCGUGUGGCGAGUGGCGGACGGGUGAGUAAUGUCUGGGGAUCUGCCCGGUAGAGGGGGAUAACCACAUAAACGGUGGCUAAUACCGCAUAACGUCGCAAGACCAAAGAGGGGGACCUUCGGGCCUCUCACUAUCGGAUGAACCCAGAUGGGAUUAGCUAGUAUGUGGGGUAACGGCUCACCUAGGCGACGAUCCCUAGCUGGUCUGAGAGGAUGACCAGCCACACUGGAACUGAGACACGGUCCAGACUCCUACGGGAGGCAGCAGUGGGGAAUAUUGCACAAUGUGCGCAAGCCUGAUGCAGCCAUGCCGCGUGUAUGAAGAAGGCCUUCGGGUUGUAAAGUACUUUCAGCGGGGAGGAAGGGAUGAAGCUUAAUACGCUUCGUCAUUGACGUUACCCGCAGAAGAAGCACCGGCUAACUCCGUGCCAGCAGCCGCGGUAAUACGGAGGGUGCAAGCGUUAAUCGGAAUUACUGGGCGUAAAGCGCACGCAGGCGGUCUGUCAAGUCGGAUGUGAAAUCCCCGGGCUUAACCUGGGAACUGCAUUCGAGACUGGCAGGCUAGAGUCUUGUAUAGAGGGGUAGAAUUCCAGGUGUAGCGGUGAGAUGCGUAUAGAUCUGGAGGAAUACCGGUGGCGAAGGCGGCGCCCUGGACACAGACUGACGCUCAGGUGCGAA
rnacentral:rRNA from 1 species